rnacentral:snoRNA from 16 species
CCUGAGUCCGGCGUCGGUGGGUUAUUCACUUACUUGAAACAUCUGAACCCUAUCCCAUCGGCACACACUUGACCGUUAU